CAGCCGCCACGGGAACACGAAGGGUGCAAGCGUUACUCGGAAUUACUGGGCGUAAAGCGUGCGUAGGUGGUGGUUUAAGUCCGUUGUGAAAGCCCUGGGCUCAACCUGGGAAUUGCAGUGGAUACUGGGUCACUAGAGUGUGGUAGAGGAUAGUGGAAUUUCCUGUGUAGCAGUGAAAUGCGUAGAGAUCGGAAGGAACAUCUGUGGCGAAGGCGACUAUCUGGGCCAACACUGACACUGAGGCACGAAAGCGUGGGGAGCAAACAGGAUUAGAUACCCCGGUAGUCCCUGUCUCUUAUAC
rnacentral:rRNA from 1 species